UUAUGUAAAAUUAAUUUCCGUUUCAUGAUGAAAAAUCUUUCAUUUUUUGAAUAAGUUCCCAAUGCCAAUUUAGCGUUCCGAAGGCUGCUCCAUUUACUGCAGUUCUCAAAUUUGCCGCUGAGGAAUUCAAAGUUCCACCUCGAACCAGCGCUAUUAUCACCAACGGCACACACACACACACAUAUAUAGUUUUUUUCUGAAAUUUCUGAUUGGAUUUCGAAAUUGAAUCUCUUUUCGGCGUAGGGAGGAUUUUACUAAUCCAAUUAUUUUAAUUUUGUGAAGAUUGCUGCUUUUGGCUGUUUAAUGAUUUUUGGCAAUUUUUUGGUUGAAUUAUUUGCAGAUGGUGUCGGAAUUAAUUCUCAACAAAGUGCAGUGCUUCACAAGGGAAACAUUCUGAAACCUUGUUGCAAGUUGGGAUUGAAUUGAUUGUUACAAAAUCUCAGGCACUUUCUACAGAGGAAGAAGGAAUUUCAAUACACAGAACGACAAUAGAACAAUAAUCUAGCUCAAAUGGGAAGUGAUAUGGAGAGAGAUGAUGAAGAAGAAGCAUCGGUGGGCGAAAUCUUGCGAGAUCGUUUCUGACUCAGCACAAUCUCCAUUGCAAAAGCCAAAGGGAAGAAAAAUGGCAUGUAAAUUUCUUAACCUACUAUGGCCUGUCUCUCGGAUUUAGCCUUCAAAUGUGCCCAGCAAUUAGCUAAGGAUCUCGAAUUAUUCGCUCAGCAUACUGAUCGCAAGUCUGUGAAUAUGGAAGAUGUCAUACUUUCUGGUGAGAUAUAACUCUUGCCAUGGCAUUUGAAGGAUCCAUGGCUUUGAAAUUAUAAAAUUUAACAACCCGAUUGUCCUAGCUUGUCUGACCAGACCUCCAUCCUAUUGUGUUUAUCAAUUGAAUAUGCAUUACAAUCAUUUACUAAGUUGCCUAUAUAGAUGAGCUGUUGGUAUUUAAGCUUUUAUUAGUUAUUUCAUAGAUUUUGAAACAUGAUGUUCUACUACCAUAACUUUAAAUUUGGCAUACUGCUUUUCCAUCUGAUUUGUCCAUCUGUUGCAUUGGUUAAUAUGACAUAUUAUUGCCAUAGUUGAUGAGAAUCUUAUACAGCCUUCUUAUAUGAUUUUCCAUGGUGUUGAAGGACUUCACCUCCAUGGUAAUAGGGAAAAAUUGAUUUAGAGCUCAUGUACUGGUAUGUAGAUUAACAUCUUUUUGUACUUUUGUGUUCUAUUAUCUAUAAUCAAGCCUGCAUGUCUUUCUACAAUGGAGUGCUUUUUGUACAGAGUUGGUUUUAUAAUUGUCAUAAGUUUAGAGAAAUAUUGAAUUGAUGAACAGGUAUACUGUCAUUUCACAUGGUUUUCCUUUGUGGAAUACAAGCUACAUAGUGUUGUGCAAAUCAUUUUUUGUUCAGCUCAUAUGGUUCAUAUAUUAGAGUCUUCAAGACUCUUAGCAUAGGAAAGAUAUGUUACUUGUUAGUCGAGACAAAGUCAUAAAUUUAUCGAAAUGAACUUUUCAAUAUAAAGCGAUCCACAAGCGAUUUACCUUGUUGAGAAUCACCAAUUGUUCUUAGACCUUGGAUAAGCAUUCUCUAUGAGCUGAUAACAUUGCAACAAAUAAAUAGUCAUUUUUGUUUUUAAUUUAAUUGUCAUUACUUGAUAAGCUAUACACAAACAUGUUCUUGAUGAUACUGAAUUUUCAGUCGCUGUAGGGUAUUACGUGGCUCGAAUGGAUGAUUAUUAACUUAAUUGCUUGGUAAUGACAAUAGAGUAGAAUCCCAUGAAGCAGACAAAACUAACUAGCCAUUUUGCAAAGAACAACUAGACGUUAGCUGCUACUGGCCAACUACAUAUUGCCGAGGAUGACAGAAAAUAGAAAAUACGCCACAUAAAGAAAAAUAAGCAUAUCUGUUAAGAGCGCCUUCCAAGUUUGUUUUCUAAAACUAUUGAGGAUUAUUAUGAGCAAGCAUAUAAUAAUACACAAAAAGAACUAUAAAUAAUUUUCAUAAAUUAUAUCUAAUGAAAUAAAUUCGUUUU